CCAACCUCCCCAACCUUUCAUUCUCACAAGCCCGUCUCUCUAUCUCUCUAACAUAUGCUCUCUAGUCCUUUAUCUCUCCAGAACCUUCUGGUUCUCUCCUUCUUCUCUGAUGAUGACCAUCGCCUCUCCGGCUCACUCCCCCCUCACUUCUCUCAACCUCCAGCAACCAUGGAGUCCUUGUAUCGCUAUUGUUUCUCUAAAGUUUGAAGCCAGCAGCUUUCGUCAUGAAAGAGGUCACUGAAGCUUUAUUUGGGUCUGUUUCCGCCUUUUCUCCGGUGGUUUUUUUCCAAUGAUGCCUUCUAUAGUAUUACAUACGAGUUUCACGGCCAGGUUUCUCAUUUCCCUAACUUAUUUUUGCAAACCCUAAUUUGUCUUUGCCUAAAUCACUCAAACUUCUGUCUUUCAAGAAUUUUCCGGUUUAAUUUUUGUUUUCUA
rnacentral:lncRNA from 1 species